rnacentral:rRNA from 1 species
GUGAGGAAUAUUGGUCAAUGGGCGGGAGCCUGAACCAGCCAAGUCGCGUGAAGGAAGAAGGAUCUAUGGUUCGUAAACUUCUUUUGCAGGGGAAUAAAGUGCAGGACGUGUCCUGUUUUGUAUGUACCCUGAGAAUAAGGAUCGGCUAACUCCGUGCCAGCAGCCGCGGUAAUACGGAGGAUCCGAGCGUUAUCCGGAUUUAUUGGGUUUAAAGGGUGCGUAGGUGGUUUGUUAAGUCAGCGGUGAAAGUUUGCAGCUUAACUGUAAAAAUGCCGUUGAAACUGUCGGACUUGAGUGUAAAUGAGGUAGGCGGAAUGCGUGGUGUAGCGGUGAAAUGCAUAGAUAUCACGCAGAACUCCGAUUGCGAAGGCAGCUUACUAAGCUACAACUGACACUGAAGCACGAAAGCGUGGGGAUCAAACAGGAUUAGAAACCCCAGUAGUCC